ACCAGCUACGAAAGCAAAUACUUGCAGACAGGCAAGUGUUCAACAACAUAAACCAUGUGAGCAUCACCACCAUCAGAUGCAUCUUGGGGAAAACACAGCAUCACCAUGAAGCAGCUCUACAGAGUCCCAUUUGAGAGGAACAGUGACAGGGUCAAAGGACUUCGAGCUGAAUAUGUACGGAGAAUCUUGGCCAUGGAUGGAGCUGCACAGCCUCAUGAAUUCGUUGUCAUUGAUGAAGCUGGAUUUGACCUGUGCAAAACAAGAUGACUGGGUCGUAAUGUAAUUGUCAUGGUGAAUUGGGUUAAAGGACUCAGGUGCGAGACUCCUUGCAGAGUGACAGUGAAUUUAUUCACAGUGAAAA